CCUACGGGUGGCAGCAGUGAGGAAUAUUGGUCAAUGGGCGCGAGCCUGAACCAGCCAAGUAGCGUGAAGGAUGACUGCCCUACGGGUUGUAAACUUCUUUUAUAAAGGAAUAAAGUGAGGCACGUGUGACUUUUUGUAUGUACCUUAUGAAUAAGGAACGGCUAACUCCGUGUCAGCAGCCGCGGUAAUACGGAGGAGCCGAGCUGUAUCCGGAUUUAUUGGGUUUAAAGGGAGCGUAGAUGGGUUGUUAAGUCAUUGGUGAAAGUUUGCGGCUUAACCCUAAAAUUGCAAUUGAUACUGGCAGUCUUGAGUACAGGUGAGGUAGGCGGAAUUCGUGGUGUAGCGGUGAAAUGCUUAGAUAUCACGAAGAACUCCGAUUGCGAAGGCAGCUUACUAACCUGCCACUGACAUUGAGGCUCGAAAGUGUGGGUAUCAAACAGGAUUAGAUACCCUAGUAGUC
rnacentral:rRNA from 1 species